UGGGGAAUAUUGCGCAAUGGGCGAAAGCCUGACGCAGCCACGCCGCGUGAGCGAUGAAGGUCUUAGGAUCGUAAAGCUCUGUGGAGGGAGAAGAAGAAAGCCGGUGAAGAGCCGGCCUUGACGGUAUCCCUUUAGCAAGCACCGGCUAACUCCGUGCCAGCAGCCGCGGUAAUACGGAGGGUGCAAACGUUGCUCGGAAUCAUUGGGCGUAAAGCGCACGUAGGCGGCGAAGCAAGUUGGAUGUGAAAGCCCUGGGCUCAACCUAGGAUGUGCAUACAAAACUGCUUCGCUUGAAUCUCGGAGGGGGACAGGGAAUUCCCGGUGUAGAGGUGAAAUUCGUAGAUAUCGGGAGGAACACCAGUGGCGAAGGCGCUGUCCUGGACGAUGAUUGACGCUGAGGCGCGAAAGCGUGGGGAGCAAA
rnacentral:rRNA from 1 species